GCUGUCUUAGCUCAACCGGUAGAGCAGCCGCUUCGUACGCGGCAGGCCGCCAGUUCGAUCCUGGCCGACAGCU
rnacentral:tRNA from 1 species